rnacentral:lncRNA from 1 species
GUAAGAUGCCCUUAAAAAGCUUGUGGAUGCGGCUAGAAUUAAGCAGAGGUCAGAAGCCUAAAAAGGAGAAAUGGCAGCGGAUUAAUUAAAGAUCUAUUCAAGAUGUUUUCUCUUGGUAAAUUUUAUUCUUGAUUUUUGUUUAGGGGAUUUUAUCGAGGAUUUCAUCAAAAUGAACAACCAUUUGAUUACACCGGUAACUACAAGACGCAUUGCUCUUGAUUAAGAAUUCAAAUACAUCUAACGUUUCAAUCAAGCUUUGCUAGCUACACAACCAUGCAUAUUAUUUUAGGUUUUCAAUUGCUUAUUUCAUGUUUGAUGUAAAAUGCUUUUCCACGCAAAAGGUGGUUUUAAAAAAAAAUUUAAAACAUAAUGUGGGUAAUAGGAAUUCUUUAAAAUCGGGUUACAUGUUGGCAUGCCAAGUGAACAAAAGAGGUAUCCUUCAAGAAGCUAUGAAUCUACCUUCAGUUUCGGAGAGAUUGGUUACCCCUUGUAAUUAAGGUUCGUUCUUAUUUUUCUUUGUAUAUGUUCUUAUCCUCUAUUUCGGAGAUUUCCUAUCCUUGUUUCAAGUUCUUAUAAUGUAGCAUUCAUUGGGUUUUUGAUUUCAAUCUAUAAAUUAGCCGCAUGAAAAACUAAUUAGAAUUUUUAUAUGAAAUGUCAAAUAAUGAGUUUUAAAAGCGAAAAACGUAUUUUUUACUGAUUUACCCCUUUAAAGAUAUGUACUCAUGUGUAUUAUUUGGAUGCUACUUUUACUCAAUUUUUGGUAUAUUUUAAAAUUUUAUUCUAGAGUUUAUAAAAAUGGAGGUUUAAACUGAAAAUUUAUGAAAUAUUAUUUUCGUAGAUAAAAGCUUGUUGGUGACAAAAAGUAGUCAAAUUAUUAAUUUAAUAAAAACUUAACACAUACACUACUCCUUCUGUUUCAUAAUUAUAUUUUAAGAAAAAAUUAUUUUCUCCAUUUAUUUGAUAUUUUAAACUUUCAGUGCAAUAUUAGUUAAUUUAUUAAAUUUUUCUGCCGUAGUUUUUUUAUUAGUUGAAUAGUUUUUAGUUAGAUAAAAUAGUGUUUAAAAUUAGAAAAAAUAAAAUUAAACAUUUUUUUAUGUAUACCAAAACUUAAAAAUCACUUACAUUGAAAGAGGUUCUAGAAACAUUGAAAGCAUUUGCUCUAAUUCGUUAACUAAGAUUUGACUUAGACAAUUAAUCACCUCGUUAACGACAAAUGGCAGAGUCUCAUUAAACAAUUGUAAAGAAGCCAUGAGCCCAUGACUAAUAGAAUAGUAUGUAGUCUUCGAUCUAAAUUUUAGUAUUUAAUAAAUUAACCCUAAGCUUUGAUCAAUUAUUGGUCAUAUUGUGCAUUAUUUUAUCUUUUACUCAUUAAAGUAAAGGUUAGCCUAAAAUGGCAACAACUAGUCAAAUAUCACUUUACUAAUUACAAGGAUACAAUAAUUAAAUUAAACCCGUAGGUACCACUACUUAACGAAUCUAAGCGACCUUCAACCAUAAUACUAUUUGUUUUUCUUUUGUUUGUUUUUUUUUUAAUUUCUUCAGGCAUGUCCCCGUUGAAGAGGAUAACUUAAAGAGUAAAAUUUGUAUUUUACGGAUCAACUAUUAUACAAUGUUAAAAUUUAUCGUUUUUUUUUUUUCAUCUGGAAUUAUAUUGAUAAAGGAUAUUACAACAAAAGCCUUGUCCAAAAAACACAGGCAUACAGUUAGUGUUACAGGAAUUUACACUAACCACCAAAAAAUGGGACAAAAUAAAAGUCCAAUUAGUCGUCAUAAGGAGCCAUAUCCCCAGAAACAUCAGGGAUAGAGGCAAGCCUUUUCUCAUUCUCAAACAACUCAUAAAUCCACUCCGGACCACCUGUGGCAACAUAAGAUUGACCAAAAAUCUCCAAAGUAGCACUUUGAGCAAUGAGAAAAGCACCUCUAUUAGAUGACGGGUCUUCAUAGGUUAAUCUCCAUUCUUCCAAAAAAACCAACCUCACCAUAAGUUCCGAGUACAAAUGGCUGAAAGAAGGCCAAUCUUUCGGUCUCUCCACAAUCUUUACUAUCUUGGGGAAAUCCAUCGCAAAAACGACUCUGUUAAGCCUAUGGUUUUGCAUACUUUCAAUACACCAUAUCAAACAUUGAGCAUUUGCAUCAUCCCUACAAGCCAGAUUCGCAAAAGCCCUUCUACUAUGCAAAAUCACCACUCCAUUCUCAUCUCUGAGCACCCAAGCACAACCACCAAUAUUGGUGUGUUUUGACCAGCAACUACUCAUAUUGCAUUUUAGCCAAGAAGUUGGAGGAGCUUUCCAAAGUUGUCUAUCCUCCCUUUCUUCAUAACCAAUCUCUGCUUCCUCCCUCCUGUCUUGGUCCUGAGCAAGAAACCAGAAAUCAGCCUCUUCUUUGAUCAAAGCAACAGAGUCCAAGAGAGACAAACAACUGCCUUCAAAGCACACUAAAUUCCGGUUUUUCCAAAUUCUCCACAGGAUCCAUGGAAAGCUUCUUCUUAUCUCCAGCGGAAUGUGUCUAGCCUUACUCAUCUUAAACAAAUAAUUGAGAUUGGAAUGUACAGACAGCUGAUCAAAACCUGAUUGAGGAUUGGGGAAGGAGGAUAAUGCCCAAACCUGUCUAGCAAUAGAACAAGUGAAGAGGACAUGAUUGAUAGACUCCAUUUCAUCCCCACAAACCUGACACCUAUUAUCUCUAUCAAUUCCUCUUAUAGCAAAUAAAUGAGCCACAGGUAAAGCGUCACUAGCAGCCCUCCACAAGAACAAUUUCAGUUUUGGCUCUGUAUGCAUGGACCAAAUAUUAGCUUUAAUCCCAUUCAGUGACGGCAGACAGUUAGCUUCAAAGAUCAGCUCCGGCUUGUUUAAUCUGCAAGCAAACCAGUACCCCGACUUGACCGAGUACUCUCCACUCUUAUUGUGUUCCCAACACCAAAAGUCAUUCUGAUUUACUACUGGUUUAUGCUUUAGGAUCCUUUCUAUAUCCUCUGGGAAGAAAAGAUCAUGAAGAGUAUUCAAAUUCCAGCACCUGUUAGGGGCAUCAAUCAGAUCACUUACCCGCAGCCCUGGGUUAAAAAAGAGCUGUCUCCUAUAAGGAGCCCUCCAUUCUUGAUCAAAUAACCAGGGGUCCAUCCACACCAUGAGAGAAAGUCCAUUCCCCACCUGUUCCCUUAUACCCUGUCUCAGCAAUCCUCUUCCCCAAAUAAUACUCCUCCAAGCAUAUGAUGGUCUGUUCCCUAAGCCAGCAUCAAGAAAAUCUUCCUCGGGAAAAUAACGACUCUUAAGAACCUGAGAUAACAAAGACUCCGGCUCUUGUAAGAUUUUCCACGCCUGCUUUGCAAGAAGAGCCUGGUUGAAACAUUCCAAGUCCUUGAACCCCAAACCACCAUUAGCCUUUGACAGACACAUCUUCUCCCAACUUACCCAAUGCAUCUGUCUCUUAUGUUCAAAAGAGCUCCACCAAAAGUCAGACAUUGCACUAGUGAUAUUAGAGAUGGUAGUCUUGGUUAAUCUAAAACAGGACAUGGCAUACACCGGCAUUGCCAUGGCCACUGCUUUUAGUAACACUUCUUUGCCACCUAGCGAAAGAGACCUAGCAAACCAGCCACUCAACCUUGUCUUUAAUCUGUCUUUAAUGAAACUAAAAAGUUCCACUUUGGAUCCACUGAAACACUCAGGCAGCCCAAGAUAAGUACCUGCUCCACCUUCAUCAAAAAUCCCAAAAAGAUUCUGAAUGCUUCUUUUCUUCUGUUCCUCAACUCCACUCCCAAAAGUAAUAGAAGAUUUCUGGAGGUUAAUAGUCUGGCCUGUAGCUUCACCAUAAGUCUUCAGGAUCUCUUUAAGGACUAAGCCUUGCUCUUCUUCUGCUCUACAAAUAAAGAGGCUAUCAUCGGCGAACAGAAGAUGAUGAAUAGCCGGUCCAUUUGUAGAGAAGGAUACACCAUUAAGCAGACCUUGAGCUUGAGCCCUAUUCAUGAGAUGAGUGAGACCUUCUGUACAUAGCACAAAGAGAAAAGGAGACAAAGGGUCUCCUUGUCUCAAUCCUCUUCCAGGAGAAAUCAUCCCAUAAGGCUUAUCAUUUAUCAGCACCGCAUAUGUCACAGUUGACACACAAAACAUGACCCAUUGAACCCAUUUACUAUGAAAACCCAGGGCAAUCAAUAGAGCUCUCAAAUAUGACCACUCCACUCUGUCAUAGGCUUUGGACAUGUCAGAUUUGAUUGCCAUAAACUCAGUAGAGAUAGUUCUAUGCGUUCUCAGCCCAUGCACCACCUCAUGAGCAAUGAUAAUGUUAUCUGAAAUCAGUCUCUCCGGCACAAAAGCGGACUGAUUAGGAGAUACAAUGACCCCAAGCCACGGUUUCAACCUUCUUGCCAGAAUCUUAGAAAUGAUCUUGUAUAAAAUUGAGCAGAGGCUGAUAGGCCUUAAAUCUGCCAUAUGCUCAGAAAUCUCCUUCUUUGGCAACAGGCACAGCUGAGUAUAAUUCCACUCUUUUGGAAAUAUACCUGUCUCAAAAAACAGUUGAACCUCCUUAGUGACCAUGGCACCUACCAGGUCCCAAUAUUUCUGGAAAAAAAAACCCGUAAACCCAUCUGCACCCGGUGCACUAGAAGCCCUUAUCGCAAAUACUGCCUCUUUGAUUUCUUCUUUUGUUACUGUCCCCACUAAAUCCUUAUUCAUUGCCUCAGUCACUCUUGGAGAAAAUUCAUGAAACACUUGCUGGAAAUUACCAGGACCUGUAGAGGUGAAGAGGUUCCUGAAAUAUGCUUCAGCCACUGCCCCCAUUGAGGCAUUAGAUUUUUGAGGAUUGCCAUUGAUGUCAUACAGCAACUCUACACAGUUCUUCCUUCUGUUUGCCUUCACAGAAUCAUGAAAAAAUUGUGUAUUUUUAUCUCCUCCAUCAACCCAUUUCUCUUUGGACUUUUCCCUCCAGUAGGUCUCCUCCUCUCUAUACGCUUUGCAUAAACUCCGUUUUAGAUUAUUGACCCUCCAGCCAAUAGGAAAACUAGCUGACUGAGCAGCUUCCAGGUCCACCUGCAGAUGACUAAUCAGCGUUGACGAGUUAGUGAUAUUUUCCUUCUUCCAUCUGCUCAAGGCUUUCCUGCAGUUCACUAGUUUAUCAGACACCCGAGACUCCCUUCUAAGAGUAUUGGCAUUCCACGCUUGACAAAUAGCUUCCUUAACCCUCGGCUUGUUGAAAAAUCUUUUGUCAAAUCUGAAACUUCCCCUGUAUGACUCUUUGGAAGUGGUUAAGCUAACCAGGACAGGCCUGUGAUCUGACUCUCUUUUGUCUAGGAAGGUCUGAUUAGCCACAGGAAAACAGGCCAUCCAAGCUUUAUUUCCAAAGCACCUGUCUAACUUACAUUGAAUCCAAGACUGAUUCCUCAUACCUCCCCAAGUGAAACUAUUACCUUUACUUGGAAGUUCAAACAUUUGACAAGCUGAGAGCAUAUCUUUAAAGGGAGUAAAGGAAGCAUCCCCUCUUAGAGGUCCUCCCAGCUUUUCACCAUUAUGAAUGAUCUCAUUGAAAUCACAUAACAUACACCACUUCUCCUUCCUACUGAUCCCAAUUCUUGUCAGGCGCUCCCAAACUUUUGCUCUCCCACUCUGAACUGGAUCCCCAUACACACAACUAACAUAAAACUCCUCUGCUCCAAACUGUACAUAGAAAUCAAGCAGAUUCUUAUCUACAAAGUUAAACUCCACCUUGACUCCUUUUUUCCAGAAAAGUGCUAAGCCUCCACUCAGACCAACUGGAUUCACCGUGUAGACUCAUUCAUAACCCAGCCACUCUUGUAAAUCAAACAACACAUUACUGCAAUUUUUAGUCUCCAUAACAAACAGAAUCUCCGGGAAGUGUUCUUUACGCAGCUCCCUGAGACGAGGAAUCGUCAGUUCUUAGAACCGUACCAAGCCCUGGCAAUUCCAACUAAUCAUUGUCAUUACAGAUUGGACGGUCACUCUUUUGGGACCACCUUUUUGUUGUUGCGCUUAGCGACUUUUGAUGUAGAAACAGCCUCAUCCGCAGCUUUCCUCUUUGAACUACUGACCUCGACGUUCUCUGACUCCUUCUCUUUGCAAUCUCCAUGAACAAAACCUGAACUCAGCUUUCCUCCUCUCCUUCUCGACUUGGAAGGCCUUUUCCUGGGUUUACCAUUCUUAAGAAACACCCCGGAAAGACCAGUUUCAGAGAAACCAGUCUUAAAUACCGUUGAGCAUUCAGAAGAAUAAAACAUAGAUUUAGGGUCAAGAAUCCCUACACCUUCAUUCUGCUGACUACCCAAAGCCGACUGUUCCCAUCUCAUAGGCUGUCCUUCUUUUACAGAGGUUCCCCCUGGUUGUAACAUUGCAACCUUCUACCUCUCUUCUUUAUCUACCAAAGAUAAGUUUUGAUACUCAAACACAACCCCUUUCCCCUUCUCCAAGUCAUUAGACACCACAGGAGGAGUCUCUAGUCUCAGCAUUAUUUUCUCCCCAAUUGGGUCAUUCUUGAGAUCCAACAAUGACUGUUUUAUUCUUGCUUCUCUAGCUAUCCGUUCAGCUCCAUCUGCUACAAGAAGAUACUGCCUCAUGCCAUCUAACACUUCCUUCGCUAUUCUUGGCCUACCCGUGUUUGGGUUAAUUCCUACUUGAUCCUCUUCAACCACCCCAAACAGAGGAUCAGACUCAGGAAUACACUUGAUUUUCUCUGUCGCCCACCCUUUACCUUUCCCUUUAGCGGCUUUAAUCAAAUCUUCCUUUGACUUUAACCAAAUUGGGCAUCUUUCUUGUUCAUGAGUCAACCUUUGGCAAGCAAAACACCUCUUUUGCACUCUUUCAAAGUCAAACCGAAUGGUCACAGGAACCCCUUUGAAAUUCACCACCUUUUCUCUUCUUAGCGGCUUCGAAACGUCAAAAAUUACUUUAACCCGAACGAAAGCUUGAUUCUGGGGUCUAUCCGGGUCGAGGACGACUUCCUUCACCUCCCCAAUGAAGUCUCCCAACAUCGUAAUGGCUGGAACUGUGUAAUGGUUUACUGGUAUGUUACGGAUCUGUAUCCACACCGGCAUGAAUUGGAGAUAAUCAGCUGGAGGAUUCUCCUUCCAUCUAUCAAUAACAAAGGACCACUCAUUGUACGUAUGAGCACCUUUGGCUAGAAUCGCUUCCAUAUCAUGAGCAUACUUGAAAAUGAACUGAAACUUCUCCUGAGUUAAAGCAACUCCUCUGAUCCGCCCAACCAUUUGCCACUUCCUUGGCAUAUCGAGGAUGAGGCUGGACAUCUUUUGGCACUCCGGAUUAAGUAACCGGCCCAUAAUACUCUGAACAUUCUUCUCACUUGAACAAAACUCCGGCAGAUCUGGUAUAUCAAAGGGCUUCUCUUCCUCCACCAGACUCAUUGCCAUCAAAGCUUUAUCGAUACUCGACGACAUCACCAACCUUUACUCUUCGAAAUCACCAACUUUCUCCGAAAAAACUAGAACCAGAUCUGAAAACAAAUAAGAACCCUAUAAACAGCGGCGUAAACACUUUCUCAGACACGAAAUCACACUAAUUAGGGUAGCCUUUCUUGCUUUUUGCUUUCGAAACUCCUAUUCGGACUUGUUUCCCGAGACAGAUGCUCUACCAAACUUUAGAAAGAGAUACUCUAAAGCAAAGAGAGAGUCUUAAGCCCAAAAAAGGGAGUUCAAAGUUCUUUUUUUUUUUUUUUUUUUUUUUUUUGUUAAAAUUUAUCUACAAAAAGAAAUCUUGAUUUUUUUUUCUUAUAUAUAAAAAUUCUAUAGUGACAAAGAUUAAUAGAAUUAGAAUAUUUACUUAUUCAUGUUUAUUUAUUUCUUAAUCAAAUUAUGAUAAACAUAAGCUAGCCUAUACAAUAUCACUAUUCUUGAGAUUAAUAACACGUAAUAGAGAGUUUUCUUAAAUCGCUUACUAAUUUAUCAUGGUAUCAAAGGUGAAUGUAAAUUUUGUGGUCAGAAUUAAACAAAUUUCCGUACUAAAAGUCUCGUGAUUUUUUUGUUUUUUUAAAAAAGUAUAUUUUCAAAAUUUGAUAUGAAAAGUUGGUUUUGGCAAAUACAAAUUGCCGAAAAGGAUAAAUACACGACAUCAUUCACAGUACCUUUUGGGCAUUACGAAUGGAAUAUCAUGCCUUUCGGUUUAAAAAAUGUACCUUCUAAAUUCCAAAAUAUAAUGAACGAAAUAUUUAACCCUUACUCCAUCUUCUCUAUAGUCUAUAUAGAUGAUGUGUUAAUAUAUUGAUAGAGACUUACUCCUCACUUAUAAAACUUGAGGAAGAAGUAAUAAGCUUGGGUAGGGUUCUUGGAGUCCAUUAUGACAAGAUUGGUGUGUGUGAUUGAUUAUAAGAAAGAGAAAUGCAACCUGUAUUUUUGACUGCUAAAGUAGUCAAGAUGCUGACAAAAACUCAUAGGGACUUACUCCUCACUUACAAAAUUUGGGAAAACAAUAAUAAGCUUGGAUAGGGUUCUUGGAGUCCAAUAUGACAUGAUUGGUGUAUAUGAUUGAGUAUAAAAAAGAGAAAUGCAACCUGGAUCAUGGAAGCUAAAGUAGUGUAGAUGCAAACAAAAAACUCAUAGGAACUUACUCCUCACUUACAAAACUUGGGGAAGAAAUAAUAAGCUUGUGUAGGAUUCUUGGAGUCUAAUAUAACAAGAUUGGUGUGUAUGAUUGAUUAUAAGAAAGAGAAAUGCAACCCGGAUCCUAGCUACUAAAGUAGUGUAGAUGCAAACAAAAAAAUCAUUGGGACUUACUCCUCACUUACAAAACUUGGGGAAGCAAUAAAAAACUUGGGUAGGGUUCUUGGAGUCCAAUAUGACAAGAUUGGUGUUUAUGAUUGAGUAUAAGAAAGAGAAAUGCAACCUGAGUCCUGGCUUGUAAUGAUACGAUCCUCCCAAGGACUCGAUACUCAAGAGUUGGUAAAUAGAUACUCCUUAGAUUUGAUGGGUGUUGAAGCUACAAAAAACAAAGAUGGUGAAGUGAAUGGUCGCACAAGAGUUGUGAAAGGCUCUUGAUAUACUGGUUGAUCCCUUGGAUAUGACGCACCAAGACGGAUCGAUGACUCCUUGGAAAUGACACACCAAGACGAGUCGAGUUUUGAUUGUUUGGAUUUGACGCACCAAGUAAUCGGUUUAUAAAGACUAAGAAAACUUGGAGACAAAUCCAAGUAAUAAUUAUUUUUGAAAACUAAACCAAUAAAGAUAGAAAGUUGAAUAAGAAUUCAACUCUUGGUAUUCUCUCUUCCUCCAAAGUGACUCUUGAACUUUAUAUUCGUCACUCUCCUUGGCCAUAAAAAAUGAGAUAUUUAUGUUGGGAUUUCUUGGACUUCUAUUAGGCUUAAAGUGGGCUGGACUUGAUAGAUAUCAUCCCUAAUAGACUUUCCAAUGCUUUCCUUGUCUAGAAUCUCUUGAAUAAGCUCGUUAAGUGUCUCUUUAAUCUUCUUCGGCUCCUUGGUCGAAUCUUGUUGAUGAGAAACGAGAUGGGCUGCUUAAUUUUGUGAACUUGGGCUUAGUAGAAAAAUCUCCUGGUUGCCAAACAUAAUUCUGGAAGCCCUUAAGCCAGUUGGGCCUAAAAGUCUUCAAAUAAAGAAGCAGAUUGUACUCCUUUGGAAAAUGGGGCGUCGUCACCUUGUGUUCCGAUGGGAAAAUCUUCUGUUCUUGGGAUUGCUGGAAAUAUAAGAUAUCCAUUAACAUUCUCCAAGUGGUUUCGUGUCGAAAUUGUUGCUGAGUUGGUCUAUAUAACACGUUCUUUGGCUCAUAUGCGAAAGUGGGGCUGAGACAGUUCCACCGACUUGGAAAAUCCAUAUCUCUCAAAUAUGAACUGAUUUUAAUGUGAUUCCAGCUCUCAAAGAUUCUAGGAUGAAAAAUUUAGUUCAUCGUUUGAUUCCUUCUGGCUUGGUCGGACUCCCCCGUUGAAUGCUCGUAGGUCCAAAUCGCGUGGCCUUGAGUUCACAUCAUUUGUAAAAUGAAUAACUCCUUCAUCUGAACUCUGAUUGGACUAAUUCCACUUCGAGAUAUGCCUUAGAUGACGUAAGAAUGUAUCCCAAAUAGUCGUUUGGCUAGGAGAAUUGAUCUUUAAUUUCGUUCUUGCUGAACAAGACAUAAAGAUCUUCUUCGAUGGGUUCAUGAUUGUAUCAUACCCCUCUUCUUGAAAAAGAUUUGACCUCAAACCCGGAUCACCGUGCAAAUCUUUAUCUUGGGUAGCCUUAGUCAAAAAAUAAAACAUAUAUAUCAUAUAAGAAGCACAAAUUUGAUGGCGCUGAUACCAUACGUCUUAAAAUCUAGGUUGUAUAAUAAUACAAUACGUCUUAAAAGGUUAUAUAAUAAUAUGAUAUGUCUUAAAACCCAUGUUGUAUAAUAAUAUAAGUAAAUUAAUAACUUUGUUGUUUUAUAAAGAUUUAACUUCGAAAAUAUUUAAGCGAUAUAGUAAUGGAAAGUUGAAUGAUUAAAACUUACUUUAUUUAACUGGAUAGAAAACACAAAAUUCAAAAUCCAAAAACAAAGAUUAAAGCUUCGAGAGUAUGAAAAGUAUACAGGGAGUUUGUAAAAUGAUUUCUAAAAUUCACUUUGUCCCUCUCUGAUGGAGCCAGAGAACCGGUUGAUGUGAGUGACGAACCAAACCGGCGUACGUCGAGUCGGAUCAGAAUCCCGAACCGGAAAUACAUGUGACUGGUUCGGUUCUUUGUUAGUUGCUUUGUUUCAGAUAAUAAUGAGACUUAGUCUUCCUUGUAUUGAGGAAACUAAACUUACCACUUUCCCAAUUCCUGUUAUGUAGGAGCACAGUCUCCACGUUUGCUUCCAUGUAAUUCUUCUUUUAUAAAUUAAUCAGAAAAACCAAAAAAAGGCAAUGUUAAUUGCCCAAUCAAGUGUUCUUUGUUUCGUGUCUUAGUCUGAUAUUGAGACCCAUCAUUUUGGUAUCAGAUUCAUCGCAUCCUUUCGCUUCUUGCUGCGACAUUCUUCACAGAAUCAACGUUGCGAGACCGUUUUCUUUCAUCUUCAUCCACACUCUUCCAUCUUCAUUCCACCAUUGCACCCAGAAAAACCAAAAACUCAAACAAACCACAAGUGAUGGCUCCGGCCACCACAGUCACAGCCAAAGAAAAGGAGAGACUCGAUGUAUUGGAGGGGAGUCUGGGGACAGUCCAGAAUGAUCUGCAUAAGGCUACCGACGGCAUGGCGGAGAAGAUAGCCCAGAUCGAAGGUUCAUUUGAUGAACGGUUACGCUCAAUGGAGCAGUCCUUCACCACCACCCUUGAGGAAGCUAUGAACCGGAUGAGAGAGUUGAUGGCACAGAAUCGUGAAAGCGGCUCUAGUGCACCACCGACCAACGCUCGUCCAGGAGGAGCGUUUCCACCACUGGGUCACCGGAACGAGCGUCACGACCAGACAGCACCAUAUCAAGCUCGUCACCAACGCCCGAAGCUUAAGCUCCAGCGAUUCAGUGGCGGGGAUCCCACGGAAUGGCUAAGCAAGGUGAAACAAUUGUUUUCUUACCAAGAUAUCCCGGAUGAUCAGUAUGUUAGCUUUGCGGCUUUUCACCUCACGGAGGAAGCCAAUGAAUGGUGGAUGGCCACAGCCAAGAAACUCAAGAUCCACCCACUACACGCCCCUUGGGAUGUGUUUGAAGAGGAGCUCUGGACUCGGUUCGGUCCUACAGAAGGUGAAAACUUUCACAUGGCCCUGUCUAAAAUCCGUCAGACCGGCUCUUUGCUUGAUUACCAAAGGGAAUUCGAGAAGUUGCAGAACAAAGUCCAUAACUGGUCCGAAGAGGCACUCGUGGGUAUCUUCUUGGGUGGAGUCAACGAAUCCAUAGCUAAUCAUGUUCAGAUGUUCGCUCCGACGACCUUGAAGGAUGUUAUCCGACUUUCAAGACGUAGCGAUGAGUUACAACGACAGAAAAAGAGCUUCCCACAACGGUCGUUAGCUCUACACAAUACCACGCGGCAGUCAUCAUCGCAGUUGUCACCACCGACCCCGAUGUAACCACGUUCGGUACAGUUACCAACACCAAAGAGACUAAGCUGGGACGAGAUGAAACACAAACGAAGCUUGGGGCUUUGUUUCAGUUGUGAUGAACGGUACAGCCCGGGACAUAAGUGCAAACGCUCACAAUUACUCCUCAUGGUAGGCGAAGAUGUAGAGGAGGAGGAAGAUGAAUUUGUGGACAGCCACGACACGGUGGAGCUCGAGAUCUCGUUGCAAUCACUGACUGGGUGGGGUUCACCGAAGACACUUCGGGUACAAAUCGAUAUCGGGCGAAAGAAACUGGUGGCACUCAUUGACAGCAGCGCAACCCAUAACUUUAUUGGCGAGAAAGAAGCGUUGCGUUUGGGAUUGAAAUUGACACCUACAUCGCCGUUCAAUGUCCGUGUCGCUGAUGGCCACCCACUUCGUUGCCAUGGAGCUUACCGCCAAGUGCCAAUGGGGUUAUCCGAUGAAUCUUUCGUUGUCGACUUUUACAGCUUACCUCUGUCGGGGCUUGAUGUCGUUCUGGGAGUCAGCUGGCUAGAAUCACUUGGGCCGAUUAUAUGUGAUUGGAAGGCCCAAUCAAUGGUUUUCCAAUGGGCCGAUAAAGAGGUCAAAGUUAAUGGGCUGCGCAAGGUGACUAUUGGAGAGGCCCAGCCCGCAGAAAUAGAGAGAGAAGCCAAACAAGGCCACUCGAUCUUUACCAUCUCCAUUCACGCAGCCACCGCCGGUGAUAAAGCCGCUCCAACCCCCAUCUCCGACGAGAUCCACCGCCUUCUGGUCCGUUUUGAGGCCAUUUUUCAGACCCCGACCUCACUUCCACCACGGCGAGCAAUUGAGCACCACAUAGCCCUCAAAGAAGGCUUGGAUCCCAUCAAUUUUCGCCCAUACCGAUACGCUCAUUUUCAGAAGGAGGAAAUUGAGCGAUAGGUCCAGACCAUGCUCGAUGCCGGUUUGAUUCGACCUAGCUGCAUCCCAUUCUCCUCGCCGGUCUUACUUGUCAAAAAGAAGGAUGGUUCGUGGAGGUUUUGUACAGACUACCGCGCCCUCAAUUCCGCCACAGUGAAGGACCGUUUUCCGAUCCCAAUAGUGGAAGACAUGCUUGAUGAGCUCCACGGCGCAGUCAUCUUCACUAAACUCGAUCUCACAGCCGGGUAUCACCAAGUUCGAGUCCACGAGCUUGACAUUCCCAAAAUGGCUUUUCGUACACACAACGGCCAUUACGAAUACUUGGUCAUGCCAUUUAGGCUGUGCAACGCUCCCUCUACCUUCCAGGCCUUGAUGAAUUCGGUCUUCCGCAGCUUUCUCCGCAAGUUCGUCCUCGUUUUUUUCGAUGAUAUUUUGGUGUAUAGUCGAUCCCCGGAGGAGCACAUACAACAUGUGACGACGGUGAUGGAGCUCCUACAAACUCACGGGCUGUUUGUUAAGCGUAAGAAAUGCGAAUUUGGGAGCCGCAAAUUAGAGUACUUGGGCUACAUAAUCUCGGGUGAAGGAGUGAAAGUGGACCAAAACAAGAUUCGGGCGAUGAUGGACUGGCCUGCGCCUACCACGAUCACCGAGCUGCGUGGGUUUUUGGGUCUUAUGGGUUAUUACAGAAAGUUCGUGCAAAGCUAUGGGGUCAUCGCACGGCCACUGACCAAUCUCCUCAAAAAAGGUAAAUUUGAAUGGACUGCUGACGCCGAUACAGCUUUUUCUGUUCUCAAACAGGCCAUGACUACGACCCCGACAUUGGCCUUACCCGACUUCACGGUCCCUUUCAUCAUACAAACGGACGCAUCGGGGGAAGGUAUAGGUGCUGUUCUUACACAAAACGGGCGACCAAUCGCGUUCAUGAGCCGUUCUCUUGGGGUAGCGAAGAAGAAUUGGUCUACAUACGCCCGCAAAAUGUUAGCUAUCGUGGUGGCUAUCCGCGCAUGGCGACCCUAUCUGCUGGGCCGACGUUUCACCAUUCAAACCGACCAACGCAGUCUCCGGCUUCUGGUUGAGCAACGUAUCCUCACACCGGAACAGUAGAAAUGGAUGGGAAAAUUGGACGGGUACGAUUACAAAAUCACUUACAAGUCGGGAGUCACAAAUAAGGUGGUCGAUGCUCUCUCCCGUCGUGCUCAUAGCCCGUGCCUCAAUACUUUGUGCAGUCCAUAGGCCGCUCUUUGGGACGACCUCCGCAGCCUCCAAGCAACAGACCCGUACUUGCUCCGCAUAGGGAAACUUGCAACUGCAGCUCCAGGACAGCCUUAUGCGCACCGCAACGGUCUGGUAUGUUUUCAUAACCGCGUGGUCAUCCCUCCUCAUUCCAAUUUGGUACGUUCUCUCUUGCAAGAGUACCAUAACACCCCAGCUGGGGUCAUUCGGGAGUCCUACGGACAUUUAAACGUUUGGCUCAAGCAUUUUACUGGCCGGCUAUGCACAGAACGGUCCGGGAAUACGUGGUAGCCUGCGAUGUUUGUCGACGGGCCAAAUCUGUCAGUCUUUCACCGGCCGGGUUACUCCAGCCACUGCAAAUGCCACACCAAGUCUGGGAGGACCUCUCUAUGGACUUCAUCGAUGGCCUCCCAUGCUCCGACAAACACACCACUAUUAUGGUUGUCGUUGAUCACCUCUCCAAGGCAGCCCACCUGGUACCACUAUCUCAUCCUUAUACUUCCAAAUAUGUGGCAGCUAAGUUUGUUGAGUUUGUGGUCAAACUGCAUGGUAUUCCCAAGUCUAUCGUAAGCAAUCACGACCCGUUGUUUGUUAGUGCGUUUUAGCGCGAACUGUGGCGUCUCUCGGGUACCAAAUUAUGUAUGUCGUCCGCGUAUCAUCCGCAGAGUGACGGGACUAGUAAGGGACCAACAGGGAACUUCUAGACAAUACUUACAUAUUCCAGCCUAUACUAACACAUAUUCUAGGAAAUGACAGGACUGGCAAACGGAAGUCGUCAAUCGUUGCAUUGAGCAAUUUCUUCGCUGUUUCGUCCAUGAUAGACCAAAGCAAUGGAGCUUUAUGUUACCGUGGGCCGAAUUCUGGUACAAUACCACUUACCACUCUUCCAUUGGCAUGUCACCAUUUAAGGCUGUGUUUGGUCGCGACCCGCCGGUGUUGGCAGGUUAUGAAUCAGGGUCUACACCAAUCCUAGAGCUUGACGAACAGUUGCUUGAGAGAGAUGUGCUGCUGAGCAAUUUAAAGAAACACUUAGAGGCUGCGAAUAACAGAAUGAAGCAAGUGGCUGAUGUCAAACGACGCGAUGUGGUGUUCGCAGUGGGGGAUUGGGUUUUUCUCCGCCUGCAACCAUAUCGUCAGCACUCUAUUUUUCGCCGCACGUCCCAGAAGCUUUCUACCCGGUAUUUUGGGCCAUUCCAAAUUGAAGCUCGCGUCGGACCAGUGGCUUACCGUCUUAAGUUGCCUGAAGGUACAAAGAUCCAUUCAGUUUUUCAUGUGUCCUUGCUUAAGCAGCGGGUUGGGUCAGACACGCCAUCAUCGGAUACUCUUCCACCACUGCGUACGAAUGGCCUUUUACGGUUACGACCUGAACAAGUUCUAAAGAUGCGUACGGUACGACGGGAGGGUAAGUCAGUUUGUGAGGUUCUGGUUUUGUGGCAAGGUUUACCGGAGGUCGAUGCGACUUGGGAGGAUUAGGAACAGUUUCGGAUCAGCUUCCCUGAUGUGAAUCUUGAGGACAAGCUUCGUGUUGGCGGGGGGACUAAUGAUGGAGCCAGAGAACCGGUUGAUGUGAGUGACGAACCAAACCGGCGUACGUCGAGUCGGAUCAGAAUCUCGAACCGGAAAUACAUGUGACUGGUUCGGUUCUUUGUUGUUGCUUUGUUUCAGAUAAUAAUGAAACUUAGUCUUCCUUGUAUUGAGGAAACUAAACUCACCACUUUCCCAAUUCCUGUUAUGUAGGAGCACAGUCUCCACGUUUGCUUCCAUUUAAUUCUUCUUUUAUAAAUUAAUCAGAAAAGCCAAAAAGAGGCAAUGUUAAUUCCCCAAUCAAGUGUUCUUUGUUUCGUGUCUUAGUCUGAUAUUGAGACCCAUCACUCUCUAGUCACUUUUUUUUUUUCUAUUUAUACAAAACUAUGGUAAGUUGUCUUGCAGAAUCCUUGAUGUGGCAUCUUUGUUGAGAUUGUUUAUGAUGAGUAAGCUCUCCUUGAUUAUUGAUUUUGUCCUUGUUGUCUUGAAUAAGGAAACGUUAUCGCUGGAGAGAAUGAUGGUUUUGGCUUGAUGUUGAAGUCUUGAC